UACGGAGGGUGCAAGCGUUAUCCGGAAUCACUGGGUUUAAAGGGUGCGUAGGCGGCUCUGUAAGUCCGUUGUGAAAUACCUCGGCUUAACCGAAGGAAGUGCGAUUGAUACUGCGUAGCUUGAAUCAGGUUGAGGUAGGCGGAAUGUGACAUGUAGCGGUGAAAUGCUUAGAUAUGUCAUAGAACACCGAUUGCGAAGGCAGCUUACUGGGCUUUGAUUGACGCUGAGGCACGAAAGCGUGGGGAGCAAACAGG
rnacentral:rRNA from 1 species